rnacentral:misc_RNA from 1 species
AGUCGUAACAAGGUAUCCGUAGGUGAACCUGCGGAUGGAUCAUUAACAAAGGUGUUUUUGAAGUUGUGUGAACAGUUGGAGGAGGUGGUGGUGGUGGUGGUAUUGGGUGGUACUGGGUGGUAUUGGGUGGUAUUGGGUGGUAUUGGGUGGUAUUGAGUGGUGUAACCUUGGUCAACCUCACUCAACCUCACUCAACCUCACUCUCCCAACCUCACUCUCCCAACCUCCACCACUCCGUCCCUAUAAUGUAUACAAACUGAUGUCUGCUAGUUUCAAACUAAAACAACUUUUAGCAACGGAUCUCUUGGCUCUC